CUUGUGGGAAGCUUGUGUGAUGUAUAACCUUGUUCAUGUCAGGUUUCGGGCUGGUUGCGAGCGCGAUCGCACGGACAGGAAACAGGCAGGCAGAACACGGGGAAACUGGGAUUUAUUAGCACUAAAACGGGACGAAGCACGAACAUCGACUAACUAACAUCAAUGACGGACCAGGAACGAAAGCAAGACAUGGACUGAAAUAGACAGGACUGGGCGAAAAUAAUCGGACACAGCUGGGUAUAAUGGGGAAGCACACGUGGAUAAUCAGGGGGGCAUGGCACACAUGAGGAUCGUACGAGCUGGGCGUGACAGUUCGACAUACUGAUCGCUAUGUAUCGCGAUACAACAGUUUGCAAUGUUACCAAAGUGUCAUUUUAUAAUUCCCAUAUUAAACAAGUUACCGUGCAUAGUGCUUUGGGGAGAGACAGACUCCAAGAGUGCAGUUCAUUUCACGUGUCUUUAAGUCAUUGUCUGAUAUUAUCCAGAGCUGAAUGUGUGAUUCAUGCUUACUACUAUAUUCUUGCUUUGCAGUUCUUACACAAUUUUUUUUCUUAUUUACUUCUAAAAGUAAAUAAAAAACUUAUAAAACUGUCAUUAUUAUAUAACAACUAUACGUAUUAUGAUGUUAUUAUUUAGUUAUGUUGUUGCUUGGUUACAUUUGAUGCCUCCGCACGUGGGAAGCUACCGGUUUGAAAGAUGCGGCUUCACUUGCUUUUCUGCACCAAGAUGGCAAGAAUCAGACGAAUGGAGAAAGCUGUUUGCUGGAGCGACGACAGAUACUGGGCAACUUGGGACAAGUGGGGAGAGGUGAUUGACUGGGGAGAUGAGAAAGAGCUGUGCUCCCCAGCAGAAUCACCUUCUGACCAGGCUGACAGUUCCACUGAGUCACAUUCCCGAAGGCGAAUUGCCAAGGCAGUUAGCUGGACGGAUGAUGCUUAUUGGGCAGCCUGGGACAAGUGGGAAGAGAUCAUCUGCUGGGGUGAUGAAGAGGAGUGCUCCCAAGUAACUCCACCCACUAGCCAGCUUGGGAGGGAUAAGGGGAUAGAUGUACAUGGGUUGGAGGCUUUUGUGAUAAAUAACAGGACAAUCUCCAUAAAGCCUGUAGACAACCAUCAAGACAGUCUGAAGAUAGGAGCUGUGCUGGUAGACCUCUGCCAGUUUGAUCUCGAAUAUUUAGAUCAAAGUAAAUUUAAUUUUGAAAUUGUGCAAGUACAAAUUGGAGAAGUUGAAGUGGAGGAAACUAGAGAAAAGGCUUUUGAAAAAGCAUUUGAAUUGGAAAUUGUGGAUGUGGCAGUAAAAGUUAUAAACAGUGAAAUCCAGCCGAAUGCUAUAAAUUUGGAUAUUGUUGAAACUAAGGUGGACAAAUUAUUAUUGGAAGAACUGAUCAUUGGCGAUUUAGAAGCAGGCAAUGUGAAGGUGUCAGUAUCAAAUGGCAAUGUGGUGAAGGUACCCUUAAGGUACCCUUCGCCACAGAGGAACAGAAAGACCAGGCAACCUUAGACCAUACUCUCUGGUGGUUGACUCGUGGCAACUGGACUUGUCUCUGAAAGUUAGAAACGUUUCGCUGCUUAUCCAAGCAGCUUCUUCAGCCUGAGGGAGGUAGUAAGUGUCCACAUAUUUAUCCUCCUGGGUAAGUAGUAUAAGGGGGCUCGUUGAGUGAAACAAAGUGGGGGG